UUGGAAUUUUAAAUUCAGGUGUUAUUUCUGAUGGAUCAUCAAGUCAGCAAUCAACCAUCUGAAAGGUAUAUGUCAAAAGAUAUUCAGAAGAAUGUAGUCCUGAAUUGUUACAGGUGGAAGUUAUUAUCUGGCAAAACUUGUGAGGACAAUCUUGGUCUCCACUUAAGAUAUUGAAUAGAGGCCAAAUUUGAUGAUUCUUUUCUCAUGGCUGAAAAGAAUAGUUUAUCGGUGAUGAAAAAUGCAUUCCUUAUCUUGACAGAGAGUUGGAAAACCAUGAUCUCCAAGGAGUCAAAACUUCAGUGCUUCCCAAGGAUAAUAAAAGUAUACAAGAUGGACUCAAGUAAACUGCAAUGCAUUACUGAUCAUAUAUGGUUUAGCAGUAGAUAAAUAUAUUGCUAUUUUUUUCCUAGAAUAUAGGAAACAUCUUUCAGAUAUUAUGUAUUCUAUACCCUCUUCACUUUACCUCCACUCUCAAAGUAACAGCCAUAGAAUUAGUGAAUUAGAGAAUUGGAAUGGAACAAAGAAACAACCUAAUUCAGCCCAAACAUAAAAUAGAACCAAUAACUAUAACACACAACUGGACAUGUAGCCUCUGUAUAAAAAUGUCUAAGGAGGAGGACCCACUACAACCCUAGGAAUCCCUUUUCAUUUGAGGACAAUCUAAUCACUAGAAAGUUGUUUGGUUUGAUUUGUCACUUUCACUGAGCCAAAAUUUGCCUUUUUACAAUUCUACUUUUUAUUUCUUUUUCUGUGCUCCCAAAUCAUAUGGACCAAGUACAUUCCCUGUUUCAAAUAACAAUCCUUCAAAAACUUUAAGAACAGAACAUGUCCAAUCAAUUAAACUGAUCCUCACAUGUGAUAUGUACUCCAGGUCUUUCAGUAUCUGGAAUGCCAUGAUUUUUUUUAAAUUUUCCAUGCUAUACUGAUAUUUAUUAAUUAACAGAAAUUAAUUAAACAAAAAUCUAUAAAGGAACCUUCAGGAGAGCAAAAUAUAAUGAGAUUAUUGUCUCCUUUUACUAGAAGCUAUGAUAAUAUUGGUAUUUCCUGUGAAUGAAUUAAUAUUUUGGUUGUAUUUUUUGAAAUAAUAAAAUCAUUACUUUUCAAAAUAUUUCCUUUAUACAUAUCUUCUUUAUCUUAUGUAAGUGAAAUUUCUGUUUUUGUACCCACAUAACACUUUAUAUUUCUUUCUGUUGAAGGAAGGAAGGAAGAAGUGUUUGAAUAAGAGUCUAUUCUGUUUUAGGUACUGUAAAAAGUGCUUUACAAAUAUUAGGAACUAUCUCUGCUGGGCCUCUAUCCCAAAAAGAUCAUAAAAAUGGGAAAAGGACCCACAUGUGCAAGAA